rnacentral:siRNA from 1 species
UCGCUGUGGAUCUGACGCUAUAGU